GUGUUGUAUGAAAGGAGAGAAGGUCAGAACUCCCUGUGACAAGGAUGGAAGAGGCCCUUGGGCCUGAAAACAUAAGUAUGGUAUAUGGUUAAGGCAUUGACACUGCUUUGUGGUAUAUAAUCAUAUUUUUAU